CCUUUCAGAUCACUAGAAGAUUUCCUUCUGGACCGAGUAGCGACUAAAGACUACAGAACCACAACCUCUCUUCCCCAAUCCCCAGCAGUAUUUUUAAAAUGAAGAUCCAAGCUUUCGUGCUCGUCGCCGCUUUGUUGUUCUUUUCCGCUCUUAUUCAGGAUUGUGAAGGAAUAGGGAUAUUUCCACCUGGGAAAGGAAAACGAGCGGUCCAAAGAAAAGUUCAAGUGACAGCACGGAGUAUUUGUGAGGCAGCUAGAAGCUUGAACUGCGAUGGGAUGGAUCUUGACGGCUGACUCAAGAAGAAAUCUCUCUCAAGUCGCGAAAUAUUCCACUAAUAUAAGUAAAAGACGUGAACCUGACUCAGCAACAGAACACGUAUGUUAAAAAGGAAAGUAAAUUCAUGGAAUAAGGGAGCGGCAAAUAUAUAUAUAUAUAAAAAACAUUUA